rnacentral:rRNA from 1 species
AGUGAACGCUGGCGGUAGGCCUAACACAUGCAAGUCGAACGGCAGCACAGGAGAGCUUGCUCUCUGGGUGGCGAGUGGCGGACGGGUGAGGAAUACAUCGGAAUCUACUUUUUCGUGGGGGAUAACGUAGGGAAACUUACGCUAAUACCGCAUACGACCUACGGGUGAAAGCAGGGGAUCUUCGGACCUUGCGCGAUUGAAUGAGCCGAUGUCGGAUUAGCUAGUUGGCGGGGUAAAGGCCCACCAAGGCGACGAUCCGUAGCUGGUCUGAGAGGAUGAUCAGCCACACUGGAACUGAGACACGGUCCAGACGCCUACGGGAGGCAGCAGUGGGGAAUAUUGGACAAUGGGCGCAAGCCUGAUCCAGCCAUACCGCGUGGGUGAAGAAGGCCUUCGGGUUGUAAAGCCCUUUUGUUGGGAAAGAAAUCCAGCUGGCUAAUACCCGGUUGGGAUGACGGUACCCAAAGAAUAAGCACCGGCUAACUUCGUGCCAGCAGCCGCCGAACAC